rnacentral:tRNA from 1 species
GUUUUCAUAGCUUAGUUGGUUAGAGCACCCGUUUAGUAAGCAGGAGGUCUUGAGUUCGAGUCUCAAUAAAACCA